rnacentral:rRNA from 1 species
UACAGGGGGUGCUAGCGUUGUUCGGAAUUACUGGGCGUAAAGGGCGCGUAGGCGGUCUUGCAAGUCAGGGGUGAAAUCCCGGAGCUUAACUCCGGAAUUGCUUUUGAUACUGUGAGGCUAGAGUGAGUUAGAGGAUGGCGGAAUUCCCGGUGUAGAGGUGAAAUUCGUAGAUAUCGGGAGGAACACCAGUGGCGCAGGCGGCGCUCUGGACCGACCCUGACGCUGAGACGCGAAAGCGUGGGUAGCAAACAGG